UACGUAGGGACCAAGCGUUGUUCGGAUUUACUGGGCGUAAAGGGCGCGUAGGCGGUGCGGUAAGUCACUUGUGAAAUCUCUGAGCUUAAUUCAGAACGGCCAAGUGAUACUGCAGUACUAGAGUGCAGAAGGGGCAAUCAGAAUUCUUGGUGUAGCGGUGAAAUGCGUAGAUAUCAAGAGGAAUACCUGAGGUGAAGACGGGUUGCUAGGCUGACACUGACGCUGAGGCGCGAAAGCCAGGGGAGCAAACAGG
rnacentral:rRNA from 1 species